rnacentral:rRNA from 1 species
ACUAGUUAAGCUCUUUUUCGCUGAUCGUACUGCGAGUUCCCGGGAGAGUAGGUUAUUGCCAGGG